UUGGUGCCAGUCACUCAAGUCAGUCCCCACUUUUUUCUUCUUUCUCCUUCUACUAGUUGCUUCUGUCCGGAUCUCGAUACUUCCAUUUUCCGCAUAAUUUUUUUUUUUUUUACUUUUCUCUGUAUCUGUGUUUAUCUGGAGCUUGUGAAUCGCUGGAUUGAACUGAGAAAGCUGUGCAAUUCUGAAGUGGAAAAUGGACGGAGUUCAUGAGGCUACGGUGGCGGGGAAUUUGACGUCACCGCCUUUUCUGAACAAGACGUAUGAUAUGGUGGAUGAUCCAUCGACGGAUUCUGUUGUGUCAUGGAGUAAGAGUAACAAUAGCUUUGUUGUUUUGAAUGUGCCGGAGUUUGCUAGAGAUAUUUUGCCCAAGUAUUUCAAGCACAACAACUUCUCCAGCUUCGUCAGGCAGUUGAAUACUUAUGGUUUCAGGAAAGUUGAUCCAGACCGCUGGGAAUUUGCGAACGAGGGAUUUCUUAGAGGCUACAAACACCUAUUGAAGAGUAUAAGCAGGCGAAAACCCUCUCAGUUGCAGGGCCAUCAACAAACCACCUCCAAAGUACCAAAUGCAUCUGUUGCAUCCUGUGUUGAAGUUGGAAAGUUUGGAAUAGAGGAAGAAGUGGAAAGGCUUAAAAGAGAUAAGGAUGUCCUUAUGCAGGAGCUGGUUAAGUUGAGACAGCAGCAGCAGGAGACGGAUCACCAAUUGGUGACUGUUGGGCAGCGCGUUCAAUUAAUGGAGAGCAGGCAACAACAAAUGAUGUCGUUCCUUGCCAAGGCCAUGCAGAGCCCUGGCUUUGUAGCUCAACUAGUACAUCAACAGAAUGGCAAUAACAGGCAUAUUACUGGGCUUAAUAAGAAAAGGAGACUUCCUGAACAGGCUGAAGAAAAUGUUGCGUGCAAGCCUGUCAAUGCUUUGCAAGAUGGACAGGUAGUCAGGUAUCAACCUUCAAUGACCGAAGCUGCAAAAGCGUUGCUGCAGCAGAUUUUGAGAAUAAAUGCAUCUGGGAGGCUGGACAACCGAUUACACACAAAUGGCGGCUGUUUGACUAAUAAUCCCCUCCCGCCUAACAAUUCUCUAGGCAGUAGCGGUGCAUCCAGUUGUAUUUCCAGUGUUACCCUCUCCGAAGUACUGUCAACUUCUUCACAGCCUAAUCUGAUAUCAGAUUCUGGAUUUCCAUUCAACUCUUGUUCAUCCAUCAUAUCUGAGACCCAAUCAACCACUACUGUGGUUCCUGGGGAGGCCAACAUUCCCAUAUUACCUGAAGCUGAUGCAUUGAACUCUCAGGCAGUCCAUGAUUUGCCUGAAUUUUCUCAUACUCUUGGAGUAACUGACGUUAAUAUGCCUGAGACUGGAAAUGUACCAGAUAUGGACACAACGAAAUGUAUUUUGGAUGAUUUAACAACGAUUGUCUCUGAUGAAUUUUCGGCUAACACAGAUGGGGAUGUUUUGCUGGAUGGUAUGCCUAAGCUUCCAGCGAUUAAUGAUAUUUUCUGGGACCAGAUUCUCUCUGCAACCCCUGCAAGCCCUCUCACUGGGGAUACAGAUGAGAUUGGUUCCUUAGUCGUGGAAGAGGAUCUCCUUGGAGUUCAGGAGAGUGAUUGGGAUAAAUUAAAGCAUAUGCAUAAUCUUACUGAACAGAUGGGGUUACUAUCAUCGGCUGCCCAAAUUUGAUGAUUGCAUGUAUUUUUUUGAAAGCUUGCACUGACGCAGGUAAAUCUUCGUCCUCCACUAUGAGCUUAUUGCUAGCCUAUCAGAUUACAGAUCAUGGAGAACUCCUGCUAUUCAGGCAGGGUAUUCUGAAUUAUUGUGCUACUGCCUUGAGCACGACUGCUGAAGUGUGGUGAACUUCUAGAGGAUGUAGAGCAAUGAACUCCCCCCAUGUGGUAAUAUUUUGUCAGGUGGAUACUCUGAACUGGUUUGCAUUAAGAAGCUCCUCUUGAAAGACUGUUCUUACCUACUAAUAAUGAUGAUGCUCUGUGUAGCCGGUAGCGAAAAGGCGAUCUUAAAAGACUAGUUUGAUGUAUUUUAUUCGGAAUUUUUGUGUGUACAUUUAUCUGGCACAAUGGGUUAGUUUAAAAAGAACAGUAAAAUGUUCCUUCUUUUACUUAUUAAGAAAUUGAAGAAGGGAUGUAAACAAGUUGUUGCAGAGGAUCUUUGUGUAACUUCUAUUGUUUACAAAAUGCAACGAUUUCGAUGGAAGAUGCAAGAAAUAUGAAUGGACGUUAUUCUGAGGCUUAGAUAUUUCAA